rnacentral:rRNA from 1 species
UACGUAGGGGGCUGGCGUUGUCCGGAAUCAUUGGGCGUAAAGCGCGUGUAGGCGGUCCGGUAAGUCCGCUGUGAAAGUCGGGGGCUCAACCCUCGGAUGCCGGUGGAUACUGUCGGGCUUGAGUACGGAAGAGGCGAGUGGAAUUCCUGGUGUAGCGGUGAAAUGCGCAGAUAUCAGGAGGAACACCGAUGGCGAAGGCAGCUCGCUGGGACGGUACUGACGCUGAGGCGCGAAAGCGUGGGGAGCAAACAGG